CCGUUUGUUGGACCAUGAACAGAUGCUUCAUAUUCAGAUAGCAGACAACCAACAACCUCUGCAGCAAAAAUUUGACACAGACACAGAAGUAGUGAUUGAUGAUGAAGAUACAUAUUCAUCUAGAGAGAAACAAAGUGAUUUAUUGAUAAAGAAUGCCUCGAUCAUCAGAUCACAUGAAAGUUCUUAUCCUAUUUAUAUGAAAAAUAAUAGUAGGAAAAUGUUUUCACAAUAGGCUGAACAAGAAUGCUGGCUCUAUCCAGAGAAUAUUACAUUGUUAAGUAGGCGUCAGAAGCAACAAGAUCUCUAUUCAUUUGUCACUAUCAACUCCAAAAGCAUUGAGGUACGGUUAGUUGCCAUGAGCAAAAUGGUAUUGAAUGGUUAUGGAGCUUAAACCACAGAGAAAGACAAGUAGUAAGAGCUGGAAAUUCAUUUUACAGGGGUGAAUGGGUGUAAGAUUCCAGUAUGUAGGACAUGAAAUGAUGCCUAGUUGAUCACUCCUAUACCUUACGACCUAUAGACAAAAUUACACCAAAAUUUUGGUUCAUGAGUAUUACAAAGCCUAAACAUGAGCAUCAUCAUCAACUUUUGGUGAAGCAACAAUCAAUAUAAAAAAUUAAAGGAAAAUGAAAGAAACCAGAUUUUUAGAAGAAUAAAAGAACACAGAUAUUUAAAAUAUUUUAUCCUGAUGACAAAAUAAAAAUGUUUGUGACCUGGCAGUCUGCUAUCAAUUUCUUUUCCAUGCUUUGUAUAGCAUUCAAGCAUCUUAAAUCAGCCUCCAUAAAUGCAUUUCUUCUGUAGUCCCGCAUCCAUUGCUCAAUUUAAGUAAUAGUAUCAAAGUAACAUAUUACAUGAAAUGCAAUAGCAAAGGUAGAGAAUUGCCAUGAUGUCCAACAUCCAAUUAAAGAAAAAAUUGCAAAAAUGCAAACAACCUCAUUUGUACUCUUAGAGAUGCUAAAAAUUUCUUCAGUUGGUUAACUGAUAACCUCAAAUGCCUUUGUGAAGAUAUUAUGAAGCCUUUCAUAUUUCUGUCUUGUCAAACUAGCACCAACAGCACUAACAUUAAAUGCAACAAAUGAUUUCCAAAUUGCCUCAUCAUGUGCUUAUCUUAAGGAACCUAAAAUUACCAGACUAAAUUUAAUAAAUAAGAAUGGCAGAUGAUCAUAAUAUGAAUUGGACCCUUUUUUUUCUUUUGGCCAUUGAAAAUGCACCUUGUUAAACACCCCAAAAGACACCUACCUCUUCAGCAGGCUUUGUGCAGUCAAAAGCAGACAAAUAAACUUCUUAAGCUAUAUCAUAUACCCUUUGACACUCUAAUUCUUUUACACUCUGCAAAGAAUGAAAAGUACAAGUGAUUAAAACCAGUUUUCUCAACUUAAAUGGUGCAGGCUUGAUCACAUGAACAGUCAGCAGAUGGAAACCCAAAAGAAAAGCAGCUACUAAAGGUUAAGGGUGCAAGAAUCACAAGAUUAAUCAUUAACUUUUCAGAAACUAAGAAAGAUUAUAUUUGCUUGCACCCAAUGAUCACAACUUAAGUUGCUUCAAUAUCACCAACUUCACUUCAAAACCCACUUUUGUUGCCUAGCCAUCCAUGCAUAUUUACAAUAUAUUUUCAAGUAAAUAUAAAAUGUAAACUGUUUGUUUCAGACUUUCAGGAAAUGGAUGAAACAAAAGAGAACCCAAUAGUUUAAUGCCUUCUAGUUGGAUGCUCCUAAAUGAUUCCCACUGAAUUCUUUCUACUGUAUGCUUGAACACAACUUUCCUAAACUAGCUCCUUGUCCCAGAGGCCCAAAACUUGCACACCAGUAAUGCUACUUGACCGCUGAUAAGGAUUUGGUACUUUUAUGCACUACAAUUAGUCAAAAUCAUUUGUCCUUCCUUGUUAAGAGUGGAAACACAUGGAGCAGUCUAUGAUUAUUCAUGGCUUCCUUCAUCAUCUCUUAGCAGGAUACUAGUCCAAAUCACAGGCCUUUUGCAGGUUUAUGUCUGUUGAGCUGAGAGUUAUAUCAAACAGAUAAAAUCUAAUGAAAUCUAACCCAAAAAUUUCAGUGUAACUUUUUUGUUUUCCUGGUAAAUAAUAUUUCACUACAAAAGCAUUUCAGCAUUCUUAAAAGUUCUCAGCUGUAGGGAAAGUCGACACUAAGUUAUCACUAAGAGUACCAUAGAUGGAAAAGAAAUAGAGACAUGGAAAGUCCAGGCAAUGUCGCCAACCUGCCACAAGGAUAAUAUUGUUGGUACUGCACCAUCUCUAAGAGCAUCCAAAAAGAUUUUGCUAUACCAGCAAGAAUGGUCCUGUUGAGGCAAAAUAAAAUAAAAUCUUCGUAUAAUGAGUUUAAGGGUAAGAUAUACCUGGUUUUUGGCAGUUUCAUCUUCUCCUUCUACGUAGCACUGGCCUCAAGGCUUUCUCUAGAUAAACACUAGGUGUUACGGUGUUACAUUUGCAUUAUCCUCUUUCAAGUCCAAGCAGAAGUUCUAAAAGUGACAAGUGAAAAAG
rnacentral:lncRNA from 1 species